rnacentral:misc_RNA from 1 species
UACGGAGGGUGCGAGCGUUGUUCGGAUUUACUGGGCGUAAAGCGCGCGCAGGCGGAUGGGCAAGUCAGAUGUGAAAUCUCGGGGCUUAACCUCGAAACUGCGUCUGAAACUGUCAAUCUAGAGUCUCAAAGGGGGCAGGGGAAUUUCACGUGUAGGGGUAAAAUCCGUAGAGAUGUGAAGGAACACCGGAGGCGAAGGCGCCUGCCUGGAUGAGAACUGACGCUGAGGCGCGAAAGCGUGGGUAGCAAACAGG